AGAAGGCUCGGGGUAGGGUUCGACCCACCUGACCAAUUUAUUUAAAACGGUCCACAUUUUCUAACCUGAGCCUGAACCCCUGCCUUUAGCGGACGCUAAUGGUUUAAAACCCCUGUUUUACGUGGUGAGUAAAACACCCAGGAUCUGAGGGGGCCCACCAGAUUGUAUACAUGAAAUCCAAUCCGUCCAUCAAAGGGUAACCUUUAUUCACCGUAUGUGCAUGAAUAGUAGCCUGAUUUCUUCAACGGCAGAGCGCAAAACACCCAAGCUUGUGGGGCGCGCCAUUGCAUAUGUAAAAUCCUUUCCGUCCAUCAUGUUCUAUACCUAAUUCUAGGGCCUCGAGAGGAAAACGAUAAGGAUCCAAUAAUCAUUUGGGCCACACCACAAGGAACAAUGGAUAUGGGAUGCCAACCAUAGGUUUUGUAUCUUGCCACCUUGGUGUGUAUCUUGAUCAGACACGAUGAUCAGGUGUAAAUCAAACGGAGGAAGUGAAAACAUGAAAAUAAUCCUGAUCCAAUAAUUAGGUGGGCCACACCGGGUGAACUUAAGAGUUUUUUUUUAUAGCAGUUUUACAUUGUUCCCAUUGGUGUAGCCCAUCAGAGAUAUUUUAUAAGCUGAUAUUUUGUAUAUACGGUUCAAAUAAUGAUUUUCACCUGAUGGACGGAUUGGAUUUAGAUAUAAUACUUGGUGGUCCAACGUGGGUGUUUUACGCAGCUAGAAAGGGAUGUAGACAAUUCGGAGGCGGAUUAGGUACAGCCCCGGCCUCAGUCAAGACGGUGCGUCCCUUACAGUGUGGUCCAUAUUGAUGUAUUCGUUCUACAUCCAAUCCGUCCAUCCGUUUUUUCAGAACAUUUUAAGAAGAGAAUUAACAAUGAAGCAGAUCCAAAUCUCAGAUGGACCAUAAUAUAGGAAAAAGUGGUGAUUGAACAUCUCACCAUUAAAAACUUCAUAGGGCCUAUCUUAAUAUUUUAAUAAUGUUUAGUUUCCAUCCAAACUGUUGAUAAGGUUACAAAAACAUGGAUGAAGGGGAAUAAAAAAAUCAGCUUGAUCCAAAACUUUUGUGGCCCGUAGAAAGUUGUCAAUGGUCAAUUUCCACUUUUUUCAAUUGUAUGGUCUAUCUGAUUUAUUUUUUGUCUCAUAAUCUAAAAUAAUAUAGAAAAACGGAUGGACGGUGUGGAUAUAGAAUACAUGCACCAAGGUGAGCCCCUCUGUAAGGGCUGCACCGUCUUGAGUAGGCCGGCGCUGCACCUAACCCGCUUGCAGACGAUUCCGUUCCAUUUCUCCAUUAGACGGAAGCGGAAGAAAAUAGGAAAACACAGAAAGCAUUUUCUCUUUCUAGGUUUUCUGCAACUCCCCUCUUCAAAUUUUCCUAGGGUUUCAGAGAGAGAGAGAGAGAGAGAGAGAGAGAUGGCAGCAGCAGGAGGAUCUGGGCUGUUCAAGUUCCUGAGGCCAGGGCUCCGUCCUCAAUCGACGGACAUCACGGCAGCCAUCACAUGGGGCGUUGCUGCGACCACCACUGCUCUCUGGCUCAUUCAGCCGUUCGAUUGGUUGAAGAAACAGUUUGAGAAACCUGAGCCGGAGCAGUAGAAACCAAUCCCAAAACAGAAUCAUGGUGAACAUUUCCCAGCAUGUUUCUGAUGGGUUGAAGAUCAAUAAACCCAGAAUAAUGUCAUGUAGUUGCUGGCUUUUGAUUUUGGUUUAUGAAAGAAUGAAUGUUUUUUUGCUGGUAGUUGCAUUCUGAGGCCUCUUGUGAUAACUACCAAAACUAUGGGUUGAGUGAAAAUCGACUUUGUUUCUGCAUAA